AUUUUAUCAGGAUACUUAUGGGCAACAGUGGAAAUAGACAAGUGAGGGCUUGUAAACGAUUCUGUCAAGAUCCGAUUGGCUCUAGAUCUACAUUCUUCAAACAAAAUUGGCGUAACUGUUUCAUCUUUAAGUAGCAGUUUGCUGCCAUUUGUAUUCAGCUGAAGAAGUCACUCUUGUGUAUAUUCUCAAGGCUUCUUAUUUUUCUUCUUUUCUAAAUGCUCUCGGACAUUACUGGGCUUGCAGAGGUCCCUUAUUCUGGGGUCACAAUGCUUUUACCGUUCCAAGCUUCAUCCUAGCUUCAGAACAAACUGUAAAUCAUGAUUUUGCAGAGCCUUUGGUUUGGACAGUUCUGUGUUUUGGAUGUGGAAUAGAUUACAUAGGAGUAUGACGUAUGCUGUAAAUAAAAGUACAACAGUACUUUGUCUCAGUACUUUUAAGGAAUUAAAGCAAACAGACUUAAGUUUCCUUGUAUUGAAAAUAACCUAUGACUGUAUGUUUUGCAUUCCUAGAAGCAGGUUAACUGUGUUUUUAAAUUGUUAUAACCACACCUUUUUGAAAUCUGCCCUACAAAAUUUGUUUGGCUUAAACGUCAAAGCCGUGACAAUUUGUUCUUUGAUGUGAUUGUAUUUCCAAUUUCUUGUUCAUGUAAGAUUUCAAUAAAACUCAAAAAUCUAUUCAAAACAAAAAAAAAAAAACAAAAAACAAAAAAAAAA
rnacentral:lncRNA from 1 species